AUUGAGAAGGCAUGUGCGGACGA
rnacentral:piRNA from 1 species